AUAUAUAUAUAUAAUUAUCAUAAACUGCAUUUGCUUUGACUUAUACUACCACGGUUUAUUCUUAUAGUGGUACUUUAUAAUUGUUGUCACAUUACGGUUAUGAGAUUUAGAACUUGCAAAAAUAUUUUUUCUUUGUACAUAAAAUAAAAUGUUGUGUUUUUAUUUUUAUUCAUUUUUUACUUGGGGUAACAUAUGACUUGGACAAGUUUUUUUUUGAGAUUCACCCUAAUUGGCCUGAUUUUUCCUUGAAGAUAACACUAAAUACAAAUAUACAUAUAUAGGUUUUUAUUUUUUUUUUAUUUUUUUGUUAAUUUUGUGCAGCUGUAUUAACAGAACUGAGUCAGUAUACCCUUCAUUUGGGAGCUCUUCCAGCAUGCUCCGUGCGUCCAGCUGAAGGCUGCAGUGUCAUAGAGCCAGGGCCAAAAUCUGUCAGGGAAACAGAGACUAGCACAAGACAUAACGGUGGCAUGUUUUAUGAAGUACCGUCAGUAUGUUUUUGAUUUAGUGAAACGAGUGCUAAUGGAUGCAGUCAGUGGUUUAUCUCUCUUUAGCUUCGUCUGUCUGUUGGAGGAAACUCUUCUUAUACUCUGCAGUUGUGUCCAGUACACAGCGGCAGCCAAGGAUCAUUUGAUUGGAUUUAACACUCAUGUGACAGCAUGAUUAACCAAUCAGAAGUGCAAUGUGCCAAACACCCACAGGCUGUGAAGACAGAAGCUGCUCGUGUGCCGUCUGAACCCUGGGGGAUGGAGGAUAAUGUGUGUGACUAAACCACUUUCUCUCAUCUCAACCUGUUGAUCAGUUUGUGUGGUGACUUCACUAGAUGAACUGACGAGUGAGUGGACCCUGACGUGUGUGUGUGUGUGUGUGUGUGUUUCCCCUGUCCAUGAAGCAUAAUUCACCUCUGCAGAGGUCCGAUCUCUGGCAAACCAGUUUGAUCUUCAGUGGAGAUGUGAUGGGAGUUAGCCAACAUGUUUGUCAGUGAAAGUAUAAUCCUAUAAUUAUAUGAAUUAAUUAAAAGCGAUGAUUUUAUAAAAUAAUUUCAAAAAUAAAGUUCUACAAAAAACACUGGCUCUGGUGUUUGAGUUUGGGAUAAAUCAUGAGCUGGAUCACUACAGCUCGGGAACUGUCAGGAUGUACAAGAACAAAAAUGUUAGAGACAAACUGCAUGUACACGCAUGAAGCAAUGCACUGCAAGUGACAUGUUUUAGGUUACUUUUGUAUAUUCUACAAAACUACAAAUAUUUUAGUUACUUAAAUACACACAGAGACACACUAAUAUAAAAAUAUUGGACAGCAGAAACAGUGAUCCAGGAAACUGUUCAUCUGUCAGAGUGAGACUGACUAAACCGCUGCUCGCUCGACCAAGAAGUUAUUUUAGAUUUUCCUGUUACAGAACACAAGAAGGGUCAGAUCUGCGAGGUCCUGCAAACUGAGGUAAGAACAUCUCUAUUACCUUUCAAAAAUAAUAAGGCUGAAAUGGUAACAUUACUUGGUUUAAAAAGUUUAAGAACCACUGGUUUAAAGAAAUGGUAUACAAUGAAAUCCUGUUUUUAACCCUUUCCUCUUUCUUCUUGUAGAGUCAAAGGAUCCAGCUUAUUGUUGGCUCAUUGGACCGUACAGAAAGCGCACACGUUGGAGAGAGUGGAUGGGACGGGUCAGAAAGGACCUAGAGCUGGGACUCUUCAAGGGUCCCCCUCGGUACAAAUCACAUUCCGUGUUCCCCACGGUAAAAAAAGACUCCAGUCCGGGCAGUUCCCCCUCGGGGCCCCCUCUGAUGCCGGAGCCCCACGUCACCCCCUCACUGCACCCCAGUUUCCAUCCUCAAACUGUUCAACAGUUUUCACUGCACAGAUGUACACAUCUCUUGUAUGAGACACAGAAGGAAAACAUGUUUUCAUAGAAACGAUAGUCUUCUAAAUAAAAGAUCAAAUGAUUUCUGUCAUAAAAGUGCAAGGGUUUCUCUUGCAAGUUCAGCACAAAAAGUAUAUUAUUUUACAAAAACCUAUCAAUACUGUUGUAUUUGGAUUGUUCUUCUACAGGUUUUUAACAAUACAUCCAUGCACAAACACUGAAAGUUAAAGUUUGGGAUUAUUUUCAUCUGUUUGAGACAGUAUGUUUCCAAAAUAAAACUGCUGUUUUACA